CAAACAAAACUGAAAUGUGACUUGACUUUAUUUCAGGUCAAUCAUUCAGGCUUUGUGAAACAGAUACCUGAGUUUUUGUCGAGUGAUUUCCUCUAAUCCAAGCACAAAUGCUGAUGAAGAGGAUGACGUAUCUAAUAGGCAGAUGGUGGACGACAGCUAUGACUGCCUUCACGGCAUAUCCAGGAUAAAUGUUACAGCUCUGCUGGCUGCUAAAAUCAUCCCAACUCUCUGUGACUGCUUCAUUCACAAACAUUAUGGCUCAGAGAAGGCUUUCAGUUUGUUGAUUCUUAUUGUGGAGAAGUGUGGGCCUCAAACAUGGGCAGACAACUCUCUCUGCCUACAGUCACUCAUGACAAUGCUGGUCACAGAGUUCCACCAAGAUCAGGAACAGAGCAAGUUUGACAUCUGUUCCAAAUUGUCCAGCUUGGUCUCCGAGGUUCCUAAGG